CACGUAGGUGGCGAGCGUUGUCCGGAUUUACUGGGCGUAAAGGGAGCGUAGGCGGACUUUUAAGUGAGAUGUGAAAUACCCGGGUUUAACUUGGGUGCUGCAUUUCAAACUGGAAGUCUAGAGUGCAGGAGAGGAGAAUGGAAUUCCUAGUGUAGCGGUGAAAUGCGUAGAUAUUAGGAGGAACACCAGUGGCGAAGGCGGCUUUCUGGACUGUAACUGACGCUGAGGCACGAAAGCGUGGGGAGCAAACAGGAUUAGAUACCCUGGUAGUCCCU
rnacentral:rRNA from 1 species